UACGGAGGAUGCAAGCGUUAUCCGGAUUCAUUAGGUAUAAAGGGUGCGUAGGCGGAUUUGUAAGUCAGUGGUGAAAUACUAUAGCUUAACUAUAGAACUGCCAUUGAUACUGCAAGUCUUGAGUACAAUUGAGGUAGGCGGAAUGUGUGGUGUAGCGGUGAAAUGCUUAGAUAUCACACAGAACACCGACUGCGAAGGCAGCUUACUAAACUGUAACUGACGCUGAUGCACGAAAGCAUGGGGAGCAAACAGG
rnacentral:rRNA from 1 species